rnacentral:misc_RNA from 1 species
AGUGGCCAUUUUAGUAUUAGUACAGGGAUUGACGGACCAUUUAUCUUGUAUCUAUUUGCUCAGAGCAGAUGCUUCCAGACUAUUGUUAUUUCAUUUCUUCUUUGCCCUCAGAACAUAAUUGAACUUGUUACUUACAUGUUUGUGGUGUACUUUUUAAAUCCAUAGCUUUAAACACUAGCAUGCCAAUUUAUUUUCUUUGAAGUAUGCCAUUUUAUUCCCCCCACCGCCAC